rnacentral:tRNA from 1 species
GGUGUAGCUCAGUUGGUUAGAGCGCCAGAUUGUGGCUCUGGAGGCCGUCGGUUCGACUCCGAUCA